CACAGAGGGGUGACAGAAUUAUGAGACUUAUGUUUGUUGUGUUUUAUUUGCAUGGGGUGGCGGUAAAUAAGUUUGAUGAAGAACCCAUUAAUUCGGGCCUCCUUGUCUGAACAAAUUCCCUUCUACUCAGGCUGUAGAAAAUUUUGGACCUUUAUACAGUCAAAAGGGACAAUAUCUCCUUUCUGAAGCGGGUGUUAUAUUUUACAGAUUCUUUAAAUUAUUAUACUUUUGUCAAUUCAACCCCUAAUAUUUUAAUUGUGUCAAUUGAAUUCUAAACAAUUUUAUAUUUUAUCAAUUAAGUCAAUCCGCCAAUUUUAAUAGAAAAUCACUGAUGUGAAUAUUAGUUAUCUUACGUAAUAUACCAAGUACUAAUGCGAAAGUUUUUUAAUAAUAUUUUAUUUUAUUUUUUCAAUUUUUUCGAUAUUUUUAUCAUUUCCUUCUUUCUAUUUAUUUUGUACUAUGACCGGCAAUGAUCGCCGGCGAGGGCAAGACUCGAGACAUCCAGAUCUAGGCGAGGGCAUCAUAGCUCUUGCUAGAGGCCAACGGGGGCUUCCCUACCCUCACUCAUUGACGGGCAAGCUAUGAGAAGUGGUAGGUGAAGCCGAACCCGAUUGCAGUGGAGAAGAUCCAGGCGACCAGCUUGAGCCCCGCAGCCCCCUGUCCGUGGGGGGCAACCUCUCCAGCUCGGUCGGGCAGGAGUCGAGCAGGAGGUAGGCAAGGUAUAUGGAGGUGAUGAAGACGACGAUCACGGGGGUGUCGCCGUUGACGGAGGCUCAGUUGAAGGUGCUGACGCUGUUGAUGGCAAGGAAAGCGUGGGGGAUCGAACAGGGGAGGCUGAAGCAGUCAUCCUCACUGCCGCAAUUGUCGACCCCGGCGUCUGGCGAAGGGACUGGGAAGAAGCUUUGGUCGCCUCUGGGCGUUCGUGUGCACCAUUUUUCAUCUUGACAACACGAGAUAUGAGAUCAUAUAAAGUCAAGCGGAAGUGACGAUGCGGGAUUGUGAUUUGGCAUUUAUAGAGGGGUGGACGGAUGAAAGUCGGUCGACUAUGGUCGCCGAGGCUUAAGGGCUUUUCCUUGAACUUGCG
rnacentral:lncRNA from 1 species